UACAGAGGUCCCAAGCGUUGUUCGGAUUUACUGGGAGUAAAGGGUGCGUAGGUGGCAGGGUAAGUUCGGUGUGAAAGCUUCGAGCUCAACUCGGAAAUGGCAUUGAAAACUAUCCUGCUUGAGGGUCGGAGGGGAGACUGGAAUUCUCGGUGUAGCAGUGAAAUGCGUAGAUAUCGAGAGGAACACCAGUGGCGAAGGCGGGUCUCUGGACGACUCCUGACACUGAGGCACGAAAGCUAGGGGAGCAAACAGG
rnacentral:rRNA from 1 species